UCUCUCUCUCUCUCUCUCACACACACACACACACAGAGUAUGUGCAUGUUUUGGCACAGGAAGGAAGGGGGGCGGGUCUUUCAGUUUGCAUUCUCUCAACUCUCUCCAAUUUCUCACAUCCUGAUGCCAUAAAUGCCUCCUAAGUGCUCUUUCUCCAGCCUUUCCCAUUUCAAAUAAGACAAGUCUCUCUACAAAGAGGCUAAGAGAGAAGCAUAACAACAUGGAUCUGGUUUUUACUUGAUCCAAGCUGAUCAGAUCAAAUCUCACCUAUCAACUAUCAUUUAACAUACUCUUGUUGGAUGUAUGUCCUAGAAGCUAAUCUUAUCUGACGCAUAUUAUAUUUCUAGGACAUGAUUUUGUACUUAAUGGGCAAUUAUAUUACCAUUCAUGUUUUAUGUGUCCAUAAAUCAUCGAAGAGAUUAACAAGAUGAUGAUACAUAUUCUCAAAGAGUUAAAAAUUUGAGACAUACGUCAUUGAUGAUUAAUUCCUAAAUUGCACCUGAUCAUAAGAUCAUCAUGGAGACAGUGAUUGAUUCGAUUAGAUCGAUGCACGGAUCGCUUUCUCUAGACAGAUGAGUCUCGAGUCUGCGGUGCAGCGAUACUAGAGCGAGAGUGCAGGUGGUUGUUAGAGAACAACUAGCACUGAGCGUGACUAACAUAAGAAGUCACAUGGAUCUCUGCUCACUCGUUAGUGACUUUCUCGAUGCUGCAGUUGUGUGACUGAUCUUUUGAUCUGCGGUGCCACAACUGCUCGGAGUGAGACCGCUGGAGUUUGACUAUACAUAAACAUUGACUCAAUGAGUCAAUAUAGUAGAUGUUGGCGAUAGUUGAUCCACUGUAGGAGUAGAGGACACAUCUAGAUGGGAUCUAUCGAUUCUAGCAGAAAAGAGUAAUCCUAUGAGAUUUGAGAGGUUGAAUCUUUAAAGUCUAUGGCCAUAGCAAUAUGAUUGAUGGAAAAAAAAUUUCAUGAAAAUCACUGACGGAUUCGAGCUAAUUGAAUUUAUCAUAUAACCGAUAUUGAGGUUUGACAAUUUAUCUAUGACCUGCUAUCUGAUCGGGACUCACGAUAGAGGGACUGUAUCAUACAUUAACUGCAUCUAGAGGUUCAUUACUUUUUAUUCUGUUGGAUUGCCACUACAUACUGCUAGGUNNNNNNNNNNNNNNNNNNNNAUGAUUUCAACCUAUAAAAAAAUUUCGAUGAUAUUAUGAUGGAGAUCACAAUAUAUCUCACUACCAGUCAGAAUAGAGCCUAUGGGAUCACACACAGAGAUUUUUGACUGAUCAGAUGGUUGAGUUACGAUUAUGAAUCGCAAUUGAAUUUAAUAAUCAAUGUAAUUGAUCGUUUAUCUAAUACAAAAGUUGUAAUUAAGUAACCCACUAAAGAGUAAGUUAUAGGAGGAUUAAUUAGCAAUUGCAUUGCUAAUUGACUCAAUUUGAUAAAGCAAUGAGACUUGGAUUAACUCUAAUUGAAUGAUAUUCAAUUUGGCUUGUCUAAGGUUUGAUUUGAUCAAACCUAAUUGAAUUAUGAGAUAAUCCAAUUGCAUGGAAGAAUAAUUCUUAAUUUGAUUAGAAUUUGGGUGCCAUCUAAUUUCUAAUCAGAUUAAAUUUUAAUCUAAAUAGAUUGGGCUCCUAAUCAGAUUAGGAUUUCGAUCUAUUUGAGUCAAAUCAAUUCAUAAUCAGAUUAGAAUUGAUUUAGUUUAAAUAAGCCACCUAAAGAAGAGUCCUAAUGGUCUAGGAUUUCUUCCCUUGCGCCACAUUAUGGAAGCCUCACACCCUACUUUGUUUUGUGCCAAUUUUUCCUCCAUGUCCUAGAGAAAGAAACAACAUGAAAAGAGUUCACGCUAAUGCUAUCUCACUAUGGGAUAUGGGGGCACAAAAAGGAUAAGGUGCGACACAAAUCUAGUGUCCAAGGUAACAUGAACUCUCAACCAAAGGCCCUAACUAAUCCUAUUUAAACAAGGGAUAAGAGGAGCGGAUGCUAUGCUGAUAGAGAUCAGAUUUUAGAAACGCCAAACCAAGGGAGGUGCGUGAGAAAAUUUGGAAAAGAGAGGGCGCGGCAUCAAGGGGUUGGCGUGAGGUUUGUUGGCUCUUAUCCUUUCUUUCUUACCAACAACCAAAGAUUGGUUGUUAGGGUCUUCUCUCUCCAUCUUUUGUCCAAAUUUUAGACAUGGAUUUUUCUCUCUUUUGUCCAAGAGUUGAACAUGUUUUCUUAAACCUCUAGCGUAGAAAUUUUAUGCAUGAGUUUUAGAAAGAGAGAAGAAAGUGCUCUUCUCACAAUCUCUAGCAUAGAGAUUUUCAUCUUCUUAUUUUUUUCUCCUCUAAAAGGAUCUUGAGAAAAAAAAAGAGUUUUCAACCGUCAAGAUGCGAUCUUUACAAGGGAGCUAGCACUCCGAUGAAAUUAAUAAGCUUCUGAUCAGAUUAAGGCCCUAUGUGGAUACCCAUAGAGGUUGGACGCUUGUGCGGCUUCAAGAAACCUUCGGAAGACAUCCACGAUCAUCGGUUCGCGGUGUAUAUUGAUCCACGUUAAGGUAUGAAGAUUAGAUCUUCUCUAUUUAUUCUUCUCUAUUUGAUUUCUGUAUCUGAAUCCUAUCACAUAUGUAGAUCUUAUUAUAUGGUUUUAAGAUUUGAUCUUAUGCAUGCUUAGAUUAAAUUAGAUUUAAUCUGAAUUUUUUUAAAUUUUUGCUGCACUUACGUCUUGAAAAAUUUUGCAUGCAUGAAACCAUAAAAUCCCAACAAUGGUAUUAGAGCCACAUCAUAUGCAUGAAAUUAGGAUUUAGAUCUGAAAUCUGUAGAAAAAAUUUUUAAAUCUAAAAAUUUUUGAUAUCGUUCUGACAUAAGGUUGUCCUGGCAUAACUUGUUAUGUUGUAUAGUUAUCCUAGAACGAUAUUAAAAAUUUCUGAUUAAAACAAAAUUUUAAAUCUGAUUUUUCUUCAUAUAUAUGAUACAUGUUUUAUUGUUUAGAUAUAAAAAGAGUUUCGAGAUCUAUUUUCAUUCGUAUAUAUGAUAAAUGAAAGUAUGCUUAGGUCUGAAAUUAGUUUCUAUGAUCUAAAUUUAAUUCAUAUAUAUGAUAUAUGAUUGUAUGCAUAAUCUGAAAAGUAUUUCGAGAUCCAAAACUUACUUUCAUGCAAAGAAUUUAGAUCUGAAAAUUUAAAUUUAAGAUCUAAAAUUAGUAUUUGUGCAUGAGGGAUAGGUCAUGGGUAGAUCAAAUUAAGUCAUGUAAUUGGAUUAUACCUAAAAUUUCUGAUUUGAUCAUAAUAGGUCAAAAUCGAUUUAGUAGUUGAUCAAACCGAGUCAAAUGUUGAUUAGAAUUAGAUCAAUAGAGCUUAAGAUCAUACAAUCGUUGUUGAUCGAAUCGAUUGACACCCAUAUGUAGAAUCGAUUAACUCAAGGACCUAAUUCGGCUAUGUGGCUCGAGCCUGAUUCGCCUAAGCUAAUUUAUUUGAACCAAUCGACCUAUUGAUGUCUAAGGCAAGUAAUUGAAAGAUGGUUCUUUAAUUAGUUCCGUUCGCUGAUCUAGCCAAUUUAUUGGUAUUUAAGAAAAAUAACAGAGAACCCCCACUGAUCUCCACUUACCUGAUCAAUUUAGAAGAUUAAGUUUUGAAUGUGGUCGCUUGAUGUUUUGGUUUAGCCUAUGCCAAUUAGAUCAGCCAUGUGAUGACUGAUUAUAUUAGACCUAAAUUUAAACCUCCCCAUAAAUAUUAAGUCUAGUGGUCUUCCACCAUUGUAGAUGUACGGAUGUGCUACCAGUAUUGAUUGUUCAUGGCUGGUCACAGUGGUUCAGUUGCAUCGAAAACACGUAACCAUUCUAUUAAUAAAGAGUUACUCCAGAUAAAAAUGGGAUUGAACCCAAUAACUGUUAGGUGAGGAACUCAAUGAUGGCUUUGCACCUACUUGUGAACAGUAAGUCUGACUUAACUAAAGAGUGUGAACAAUAAUUGUUAAAUGAGCUCACAUGACUUGGAGACCAAGUCGCUGCAACAUGCUUAGAGAAGCAUCUGAGCAAAGAGUUAUUCAUGCAUCGAUGUGCGUGUUACCAAUAACUGUUAGAUGAGGUAUACGACAUUAGUGGGAUCGCAGUAUCCACUAAAAAUCUAGUUGUCGCACUAGGAUUUUCGUUUCUCCAUCCGAAAAAUGUGAGAGAUUUGAAAAAAUAAUGGGAGCCUGUUUGCAUCUAAAAAUUCUUAGAGCAAAUUAUAAAACAAGUACAAACAUGUAACUAGAAUCUUUACUCUCUGUUGCUUAUUGUGUCAACUUCCAAUCCUCUAACUCGAAUCUUAGUUAUCAACCGUUUAACCGAAAUUAAUUACAUAAACUGACUCAAAAAUCUAAGAAUCAUUCUUAGUUUUAAAAAAUUAAGCUAUGUUCUUUAUCAGGUUAUUCCAAUGUUAUCAGUCUGUCCAACUCAAAGUCAACGAGCUAUACUUGAUAAGUGGAUGGACAAUGACAAUAAAGAUAGGUACUAUAUGUUGGCGUUCAUAUCAGAUGAACUCCAACAUAUGCAUGAGCAUAUGUAUACUGCCAACGACAUGUUGAUUUAUUUAUGUGUUGUGAGAUGAUCAGAGUUGCACAGCGCAUAAAAUACGCGAUGGACAGUCAGUCGAUGAUCACUAUUUGAUAAUGCUCAAGGACAUUAAGGAGCUUCAAAAACUCGACAUGACCAUGCACAAGAAAUUGUUUGUGAAUUGGAUCCUGCAAUCCCUUCUUAGUUUGUAUGGGUAGUUUAUGAUAAACUACCAUAUGAAUGACCAUGAUGGCACUUUAUCUGAAUUGAUCAAUAUGUUGGUAACUAAGGGACCUUGAAAAGUUCAAAAGUACAUACCUGGAGAGCCUAAAGAAACAAAAAUACACCUUAAGAAGGCAUGUCAAAAUUGCUCGAUACUGUCAUUACAGUUUCUUCUUCUCCCAGUUAAGUAUUAGACUCUAGUACUUUUUAUGCACUUUAUUGUAGAGUCUAAGAAAAAAUAGAGGGUUGAGGGAAGAUGAAGUAAUCUUUAAAGUUGGCAAUAGGACAAGAAUUGCUACUGUGGCCAUGGACAUCUAUCCUUUGCGACUACCGUUUGGAUUUAGUUNNNNNNNNNNNNNNNNNNNNGCGAGCAAUGAAUGCCAUUGGAUCUGAAAGAUCCAGUGUUGAGAUAAAUCUGAAGUAUAUGUGGUACUUUAGGCUAGAUCAUAUAGGAGAAGAAAUUAUUAACAGACUGGAGAAACAUGGACUUUUGGGCUCAUUGACUAUUGAGUCAUCUAGUCUAUACAUUAUCUCUUUAAGAAAAAAUAAUCAAGCUACUAUUGUGGAACAACAAGAAAAGGACCAUUGAGAUACUUAUCCUGGUACACAUUUAUGUGUGCAGCCUAUUUAAUGUACUAGCCAAGGGAGAUUGUCUCUACUUUGUUACUUUUAUUGAUGAUCAGUCAUGGUAUGGGUAUAUAUAUGUGAUACAAAUUUGAGGCUUUAAAAAAUUCAAAAAAUUCAGAUAUGAAGUAAAGAAAUAAACCGAAAAAUUUCUAAAAAUACUUCGAUUAGUUCAAGGAUGCAAUACCAAAAUAAAAAAUUUCUCGACUAUCUCAUAAAAAUGACAUAUUUUCAUAGUGAACCCCUCCUAGUAAACCUCAGCUCAACGAGGUAUUUAAGAGGAAGAAUGGGACUAUAUGAGAUAUGUUCCAGUCCAUGAUGAACUUCAAUGAUUUAUCUUUCUUUCUUUAGGGACAUUUUAUUUUUGAAAUUUACCUAUUGAAUAUUAUUUUUUCUAAAUCCAUUCCUAUUACACCGUAUUGGAUAUGACAUGGUAAGAAACCAAGUCUUAGUUAUUUCAAGAUUUGGGGAUGUCUAGCCGAUGUCAAGGAUAGCAGGCAGACAUGUUAGAGACUAGAUCUAUAAAGCUCAUUUCAUAGCAUAUCCUAAAAGAAUUUGGGAUACUCCUUUUUCUUCUUAAAAGAUCACAAUGUGAUUGUGACCCGUCAAGCCAUCUUCUUGGAAAUGGUUUAUCCAAAAUGAGGUAGUGGGAGGAAAGUUAAGCUCGAAUAGAGUAUCUCUGAAGAACAACGAGUCAUAGAACCUAAAGAACCUAUUCAUGAUGAGCCAGUACAUGUAUGUACCUCUUCCACCUCGUAGAUAUAGUAGGAUCUCUCAUCCUCUUCAAAAGUACUUAGAUAUGCUUAACAGAAGAUGUAAAGAAAAGUGUUUCUCAUGGGAGAUAGGAAACAUAGAGAUGAUCCCAAAACUUAUAACGAGACGAUGUUAGACACCAACUCCGAGAAUGGGAUGUGAAAUAGCUUUCUUGAUUAGAUAUUUUGAAAAGAUAUCUGUAUGGAGUAGCCUUUGAAUUUCACUUUCUGUAAUAGAGAUCACAAAAUUUGCAAGAAUCUCGGAGUCAGAACAUUCAUUUCAAUGAUGUAAUCAAAUUGUUUGAUAAAGAACGAGAAAAAAUUAUAUGUUUAUAUAAAGAUCAAUGGGAGUGCUGUCACGUUCUCCGUAAUGUAAGUGGAUGACAUCCUCCUGAUUGAGAUUGUCCCAUACUGACAUCGGUUAAAAUGUAGUUGUAUAUAGAAUUCUCCAUGAAAGACCUAGGGCAUACAUCUUAUAUUCUGGGAACAUAAAGAUCUAUAGAGAUAGAUCCAAAUAGAUGCUUAGGUUUUUACAGAAAAGUACAGAGAGUAGAUGCUGAAAUGGUUCAGCAUAAAAACCUCUAAGAGAGGUCUGCUACCCUCUUGAGUAUAGAAGUAUGUCAUGUUAUGUACUCGAUUUAAUAUAAUUAUUGCUGUGAAUGUCACGAGUAGAUAUCAGUCGAAUCCAGACUAGAAGUGUUAGAUUACUGUAAAAAAAAAUUUAAGUACUUGAAAAGAACUAAAGAUUUGUUCUUGAAUUUUGGAGAAGGAUCAGAGCUAGGAGUGGGAAAAUACACCAAUUCAAACUUUAUGUUUGAUGUUGAUGGUAGAGUGUCUACAUCAAGGAGUGUGUUCUUGUGUAAUCAUGGUUCGAUAUCUUGAAAGGAUUCCAAGCAACCAAUCGAUGGAAGCUGAGUACAUUGUAAAUGUAUAGGAUACAUUCUGAUUCUAAUGUUAGUUACCGAACUGGAUGUCAUGCCAUCAGAUGCCAUAACACUAUAUUGCAAAGACAGUGGCACCAUAGCCCUUGCUAAGGAGUCAAAGUCUCAUAAAAAAUCCAAGCACAUAGAGCAACAGUACACGCGACUACCUCAAGUAAAAAUAUAUAGAGAUGCAGAGAGCAGACUCCACAUGAAAUGUGGUAGACUCACUGGUAAGUCACUUAGCUAGCCGAAGACUAAAGCCUGUCUUGAGCAGAUGAAAUUUGGUAUAUGACAGAUUGACUUUAGUGCAAGUGAGAGAUUGUCAGAUGUAUGCCCUAUAAGCCAAUAUUGACUGAUGCAUAUCAUAUUUUUAGGACAUGAUUUUAUACUUAAUGGAUAGUUAUAUCACCAUUCAUAUUUUAUGUAUCCAUGAAUCAUCCAAAGGAUUAACAAGAUAAUGACACUGUUGAGAAUUUGAGACAUGUGUCAUUGAUAAUUAAUUUCUAAAUUGCUUCUAAUCAUAGGAUCAUCACGAGAUGGUGAUUGAUCCAGAUAGACUGAUGCACGGAUUGCUUCUUUCGGACAGAUUAGUCUCGAAUCUGCGGUGUAGUGAUAUUGGAGCAAGAGUGCAGGUAGUUGUUAAAGAAUAACUGGCAUUAAGUGUGACCAACACAAGAAGUCACAUGGAUGUCUGCUCACUCGUUAGUGAUUUUUUCGAUGCUGUAGUUGUGUGAUUGAUCCUUUAACUUGCGAUGCUACAACUGCUCGCAGUAAGACUGCUAGAGUUUGACUACACAUAAAUAUUGAAUGAGUCCUUGUAGUGGAUGUUGGUGAUAGUUGAUCCACUAUAGGAGUAGGAUGUGCAUUUAGAUGGGAUCCAUCGAUCCUACCGGAAGCAAGUAGUCCUGUGAGAUUUGAGAGGCUGAGUCCUCAAAGUUUAUGGCCAUAAUAAUGUGAUUGAUGAAAAAGAGUUUCCAUGAGAAUCACAGAUGGACUCGAGCUAAUUGAAUAUAUCAUAUAACCGAUAUUGAGAUUUGACGAUUUAUCCAUGACAUGCCAUCUGUCAGGAGUCACGAUAGAAGGACUGUAUCAUACGUUAAUUGUACCUAAAGAUUCAUCACUUUUUAUUUUACUGAAUUACUACUACAUACUGUUAGAUGUCACGGAUGGAUUGUGAGACCCACGAGCAUCAUCUUGAUGAUCGAUGAUCCUUGAUGGAUAGAAUUAGAAUGAUUUUAAUCCAUCGAAAAGAGUUUCGAUGAUAUUAUGAUAGGGAUCACAAUAUAUCUCAUUACUAAUCAGAAUAGAGCCUAUAGGGUCACACAAAGAAAUUUUUGAUUGAUCAGAUGAUUAAGUUGCGAUUAUGAAUCGCAAUUGG
rnacentral:lncRNA from 1 species